rnacentral:rRNA from 1 species
GACUAAAAAUAGCUCAAAAUAUACCAUAUUAUACUACUUCAAACUGCUAAAACAAAACAUUCACAAAAUAAAAGUAUAGGUGAUAGAAAUUCUAUUUGACGCUAUAGAAAAAGUACCGCAAGGGAAAAAAUGAAAGAAAAUAAAUAAGUAAAAAAAAGCAAAGCUUAAUCCUUGUACCUUUUGCAUAAUGACUCAACUAGAAAAUGUUAGCAAAAAGAAUUUAAGUUAAAUACCCCGAAACUAGACGAGCUACCCAAUAGCAGCCUAAAGAGCAAACUCGUCUAUGUGGCAAAAUAGUGAGAAGACUAAUGGGUAGUGGCAAUAAACCUACCGAGCCUAGUGAUAGCUGGUUGUCCAGAACAGAAUUUCAGUUCUAAUUUAAAUUUGCUACAAAAGAAAAAUAAACUUUAAUGUAAGUUUAAAUAAUAGUCUAAAAAGGUACAGCUUUUUAGACGCGGGGUACAACCCCUAUUAGUGAGUAAAAUAAAAAAUAAUACUCUAGUUGGCCUAAAAGCAGCCAUCAAACAAGAUAGCGUUCAAGCUCAACAAACAUAAAUUAACUAAUCCCAGCUGUUAAUAAUGAUACUCCUAAUAUAAAAACUGGACUAUUCUAUUCUUAAAUAGAAGUAAUACUGUUGAUAUGAGUAACAAGAAAUAUUUCUCCUUGCAUGCGUGUAUAUCAGAACGAAUGAUUCACUGAUAGUUAACAAACACAAAUAUAUUUAUCAAAUUAAAAUACUAACAUAACUGUUAACCCAACACAGGUAUGCAAAUUAAGGAAAGAUUAAAAAAAGUAAAAGGAACUCGGCAAACAUAAACCCCGCCUGUUUACCAAAAACAUCACCUCUAGCAUAAAAAGUAUUAGAGGCACUGCCUGCCCAGUGACUUUAGUUUAACGGCCGCGGUAUCCUGACCGUGCAAAGGUAGCAUAAUCACUUGUUCUCUAAAUAAGGACUUGUAUGAAUGGCUUAACGAGGGUUUUACUGUCUCUUACUUUCAAUCAGUGAAAUUGACCUUCUCGUGAAGAGGCGUGAAUAAAAAAAUAAGACGAGAAGACCCUAUGGAGCUUUAAUUAAUUAACUCAUAAACUACAAUAAUACUCUAUAAGAAAUUAAACAUACUUUAACUGAGUUAACAAUUUAGGUUGGGGUGACCUCGGAAUAAAAAACAACUCCCGAGAAAAUUUCAAUUAAGACAUACAAGUCAAAAUUAUCUUAUUAUAUACUGAUCCGUUAUAAGCGAUCAACGAAACAAGUUACCCUAGGGAUAACAGCGCAAUCCUAUUUAAGAGUCCAUAUCGACAAUUAGGGUUUACGACCUCGAUGUUGGAUCAGGACAUCCCAAUGGUGCAGCCGCUAUUAAUGUGUUCGUUUGUUCAACGAUUAAAGUCCUACGUGAUCUGAGUUCAGACCGGAGAAAUCCAGGUCGGUUUCUAUCUAUUUUAAGUCUCUUCCAGUACGAAAGGACAAGAGAGACAGGGCCUACUUAAAAUAAGCGCCCUAAUCAAUUAGAUGAUUUAAUCUCAAUCUUAAUAUUAUACAUCUAUACUACCCUAGAAAAGGGUUAA